rnacentral:sRNA from 1 species
GUCAGAUGUGGUGGCGCACUUCUGUAAUCCCAGUGGCUUGGGAGGCUGAAGCAGGAGGAUCGACAGUUCAAAGCCAGCCUCAGCAACUUAGUGAGGCCCUAAGCAACUCAGCGAGAUCCUGUCUUUA